rnacentral:rRNA from 1 species
UACGUAGGGGGCAAGCGUUGUCCGGAAUUAUUGGGCGUAAAGAGCUCGUAGGCGGUUUGUCGCGUCUGCUGUGAAAUCUCGGAGCUUAACUCCGAAACUGCAUUCGAUACUGCCGUGCUUGAGGACUGGAGAGGAGACUGGAAUUUACGGUGUAGCGGUGAAAUGCGUAGAUAUCGUAAGGAAGACCAGUGGCGAAGGCGGGUCUCUGGACAGUUCCUGACGCUGAGGCACGAAGGUCAGGGGAGCAAACGGG